GUCUAUGGCCAUGCCACCCUGAUCAAGCCCGAUCUUAUCUGAUAUAGGAAGCUAAGCAGGGUUGAGCCUGGUUAGUACUUGGAUGGGAGACCACCUAGGAAGACCAGGUGCUAUGGGUG
rfam:Pteropus alecto contig85980, whole genome shotgun sequence.